rnacentral:rRNA from 1 species
AGAGAUGUGUGAUGACGCAUAUCAAUAAGCGGAGGAAAAGAAACUAACUAAGGAUUCCCUCAGUAACGGCGAGUGAAGCGAGAAGAGCUCAAAUUUGAAAUCUUCAAGGGUUCUACCUUUACGAAUUGUAGUUUAAAGAAGUGUUUUCAUGUUGGAGUUUCGGUAAAAGUUCUUUGGAAUAGGACAUCAUAGAGGGUGAGAAUCCCGUAUUUGACCAGUUAUUUCCAACUUUGUGAUACACUUUCAAAGAGUCGGAUUGUUUGGGAAUGCAGUCCAAAAUGGGUGGUAAAUUUCAUCUAAAGCUAAAUACUGGCGAGAGACCGAUAGCGAACAAGUACCGUGAGGGAAAGAUGAAAAGAACUUUGAAAAGAGAGUUAAACAGUACGUGAAAUUGUCAAAAGGGAAGCGUUUGACACCAGUGUUGUUUUCUCGAAAAUCAAUUAAAAAUGGCGGGAUGUUGUGUUGUAUUGACUUUAUCAGCUUUCUGCACUCUUUUUCCUGUCUUUUUUAAUGCACUUUUCGUUUAACAAGUCAACAUCAAUUUCUUUUGCUGUAAAAGGGUCAUUGGAAGGUGGCUUUCUUUUCGGAGAAAGUGUUUAUAGCCUUUGGCCUCUGCAGUCGGAGAGAUUGAGGUCUGCAGCGUAGAUCCUUCGGGGUUAGAUACAUUUGUGCUAAGUUAUAGCCUUUCAUAGACAACUUGUUGACUAUGAUCAGUCAUGUAGCCUACUCGCCUAUGCUAUUUUACCUACGCUUAGGAUGUUGAACUCUAUCACACACAG